rnacentral:lncRNA from 1 species
UUUAAACCAAAGAAAAGGCUUACUAAAGCACUGGUACUGACAUGGUAAGGGGACGCUGUUUCAACCAAAGAGAAACAAAGGUGGUGUUUAAACCAAAAGUCGGUGUUUAAACCGGAAAAGACCAAAGGGUGGUGUUUAAACCAAAGGUAGAGGUGUAUUACCAUGACGGUGUCAACCCAAAUUGUGGUGUUUAAACCAAGAGCAAAAAGGAAAGGCUU